GUCAAAUUUGUAUUUUGGAGCUAUCGCAUUAAUAGAUUAACUUCCUUUUGGGAGUGACCAAAAAGUGAGAACUUUGUUUACGCGAAACUAGUGUUACAGAUUGUUGCAGUUUUAUAAAGGAUCUAUUUGCAUGUAAUUAAGAAAGGGAGAUUUUUAACCACCUUGGUACUUACAGCAAUCAUUGCAUUACUUGGGAAAGUGAAAAUCAAAAUUAUAAUAUCACAAAGACACCAUUACACGAAGUUAAGUUUUACUUUAUUCCAAACAUUCUGCUGUGCCUCUUGGAUGGUAUAGGUCAAUUGAACUGGCUGUAUUUUACAAUAUGCCCUUUUUUCUGCAUGUUUGAGUGAACAUGAAUGGUCCUUUGGUUCCUACAUUUACAUAGGUCCUAAGUUUCUUCUUGAUAUUGAUUUAUGGCCCCGAAUGCUUUAUGGGCUGUUAUUGGACAAAGAAACAUCUUUUAUUAUGGCAGGCAUGAUUAUCACUCUUUCGUGCCCAUGCAACAGGUCUUCUCAGCCUGGCCUUUUAGCAAAAAUGUCUUGUGGAUGAGGCUGGUAAGGGUAAUUUACAUGAAUUUUGAAGAAUACUAAUAAAGCCUGCUAUUUAUGAGAGAGGCUUAUUAAAAAAGCAAUUGAUUCAGAAAACAGUCUUGGCAGAAAAAAAGGUGCACAUAAAUUAUUUAGUGACUUUUUCUCUAAAUAGUCACUGUCUUAGACUAAGAAGAAAUAUUAUGGGGAAACAGAACUUACAUAUAUCUUGAAAACAAGGCUCAAAUCAGCCCAUAAAAUACAGGCAAAUGAUGACUUUUUCAUGUGAGAAACAUCUGUAUGGCUUCAUUUAGCCUGAUGCCUAAAAAGUGAGUGGGCCCAGAAGGCAGUUUAUACCCUUACUCAAAUAUUUUUGUAGAUACAGGUUGAUAUAAUCACCAAAAAGCUACAAACUCAGAUUUCUCAUGACCUUCACAAUGUGUAGCUAACUUGUGGAACACAAAUUAUUUGUGCAAGUGUCUCUCUUUGAUAUCACUUUUGUGCAGAGUUUGUGCUCUGAGCCUUUUCUCUAAACAUACACAGUGAUAUUUCCAAUCAUUGUGGGUGGCUAACAUGGUUUUGGUGAAUUGUGCAGAAGUCCUCAUAAUGGACAGUUUUUUCAUCAUGUCUGUGUCCACAGUAUGUCAAAGGUUUCGUACCAAGAGACUGUUAAUAGUUGGUUGUUACAGAGGACUUUUGUAGACUAUGGGGUACCAGUUGAUGCUUCAGUUCUGAGCUAAGCAAACCUACAGAGAUGAAAACAUGUGAGCUUUAGUGCAAGUCUUCAGUGAAUUAAUUUUUCUUAUGGUAUACAGACUGGCAGUUGUAAUAAGACAAAAGUACAGCAUUGAUGAACAUAAAUGACUUACUUUUCACACCAUCCACACGUUUGGAAGCAGUGAUAUCGAAUGAACUUUCCACUGGUUCCCUUUUGGGAGCAUAAGUAGUCAAAAAGUUUGCACAAGCGUCCAUAAGAGUCCUCACAGACUAAGAUAAUCAAGAAACAAGUAUAUUGUGAGUGGAGUUGAGGAGAGAAGUAUCAAAAAACAUUUAGCAUUUGAGAGCAUGUUUUUCUUUCCAGCUCAAAAGCUUUUCUAAAGUGAUAAGUCAAAUAUGGUGCGUGACAAAAGAGAAAAUAGCUGAAGGGGUUUUCAAGCAACAGGUUUAAUGAUUUAACUUCCAGUAGGUGGACAAAGGGACCAUGGGGUAAAGGGAGUUGUGUGUCAUUAUGGUUCUGGGAAAAGCACUGAAUACAAUUGUUUUCUUGCAAACUGUUGCAUAUGCUGAUGAUAUUCUGUCAAGAAGAAUAAUCUAUUGAUUUUUACUUAUUUAUUUCUAACCCCUUUACUCUCAGGAAUAGGAAAAGAGGAAUUUCUCCUCCCAAUUUAACCCUAAGAGUGACUAGUGUUUAAUUUCUCCGUACACAAUCAUCCCUGAAUCAGACAUUAAGGUUAUUAGAAUAAUGGAAAUGAUCAACAACUAUAGAAGCUCUUGAUUGUUAAACAAAUUCUCCUUGUCAGCACCUUUGGAAAUUUAUAGAGAACAGUAUGGAGAAUCUGCAAACUGAUGUUAGGGUGGAAAGGGUUAAACACAAUGUUUAGUAGAGAGGUGAUGAGGAUAAAACACAAAAACAAAAAAAACAGAAACAGAUCAACUACGGGAUAUUGUUUUAUUUAUCACCAAACUCUCAAGGUUCAAAGUAAAAGGAAUGUAGUUAGACAGCGUAGAUAAUUGCUCUGAGAUUUUGGGCAGAAAAGGUCCAAGUUGUUACUUACUAGGGCAUCCUUGUCCGUUUGGCCCUCUGGCACGUAAAUUAUUCCAACAACAGCCAUGUUUCCUUGAUUGACAUCCUGGAGGACUGAAUUGUUCUGCCGGUAAAAGUGAGAUUUUGACAAUACAAUUAAAAACAUAUCGUUAUCAACAA